rnacentral:tRNA from 1 species
GUUUUUGUGGUAUAAUUGGUGAUAUAUUCGGUUAGCAAUCAGAAAAUCCAGAGUUCGAACCCUGCAAGGGCU